GUAGUGGCGCGAGCGCGGCUGCAGGACCGCGGCCGAACGGUAGAGGCCUCCCUUCCGAGGAGGUAGCGCGGACUUCUCUGGCUGGGGCACUCCUCCCGGUCUCGUCCAUCCCAGCGAGGUCCCGGCGCGGCCGGGCCCAACGCGGCCCUUCCCCACCUGUUCUCCUCCCCCUGCAGCCGGCAGCUCCUGUUUUCUGAGGUCCUUUCAAGCACGGAUCGCAGUGCCCAGUGGUCAAUACCCUUACUUUUAUCCAGUGUCUGCUUCAUUUAAACUUAAUCAACUCCAUCAAUGAACUGGAACAGGGAAACGUCCCUACGGCUUCUAAUGUGAGGAAAAACACUGAAUGACAAGUGUGGGAAAGAGCAAGCACUAAAUUACUGUCAGAAAAAUAAACGGAGUAGCACAGUGGUGCUCAGUGAUUUACGGGGGCAAUUAGUCACCACCCCACGGCGCUGCUGAGGACAGCACAGCAGCAGACUCGUCAGGCCCACGAGGAAGAAGAGGCUUUGCAUUGCUCUCCAGACAACUUUUCAAACAACAAACAACAAGAAUCUGAGCACAUUAGGUUCCAUGUCUUCAGUCUGGACAACCACCCUUCAUAUUUUUCUUCCAACUUGAUACAUAAGUGUGGCUUUAGCACGAUAUUAACCUGUUCUGUGUUAAAAAGAUUCUAACUGCAACUUUUUUCUUGCCCAUUCUCCAAAGUGGGUUCUUUCCCAUCCCUAAAAAACAAAAAACGCUUCUUGCUCCCGUCAUCCCCCUAGUAUAUGGCGCCAGUCUGUCUCAUUCUUCUUGCAUCUUGCUACCUGUGUUAUACAUUUGUGCAGAGGCACUGACUGCUAAGAAAUUUUAUCUGCAAAUCUUCUGCAGAAGUUUGUAAGCUGGUAUGAGGAAGUGAGAAGGAAUGCAAAACAUAGGGUCAAUGAAGACCAUGAACUUCUCCAUAUAAGUUAAUAUGUUCUUUAACAUACUCUCUGUAGUGUUUGUAUAUGUAACACAGGAAAAUAAACCUACUCAGGGAGAAUUAAUUGGUGUUCAUUCCUUAAUAAAUAUAUAAAUAUAUAAAUAUAUGAAUAUCCAUCAGAAGAAACCAGAAAGGAAGGUUGGGAAGAACCCAGGAAAGACAAAGAAUAUAUUGAUUAAAUGCCGCUGAAUGAAUAAAUGAAAUUAAUCAAGAGUUUAGUAUCCUUGUGGUGGGCCAGAGAUUUAGCUCAGUGGUUUCGCCACCUGCUGUGCAAGCGCAAGGAUCGAAGUUUGAUCCCCAGUACCAAAAAAAAAAAAAAGAGUUUAGUAUCCUUGAAUAGAUAUUUUUAAAGCACUUUACCUGUUACAAAGGACAUAUGUAACUCCUUUUCUCAUUUAAUUUUGCUCUUGUUUUAGCCAAGAAUACCUGCUGUGUUAGAAUUGUAUUCAAUGUGUAUGUAUACAGUUGGAGAAGGUGCUCCAACAUGCUUUGCCUUUCACCUCUAAUCUGGAGUCAGAAAGAAGCGGAACCAUACUGAUGGGCUUGGUACCCAGCCUGGUUGGUGCACCAUUCAUUGGACGCUGGAUUUCUGCUAAAGAGGGUUACAAUGAAGAGAAUCUUCAGAUCUCUCUUGCUAUUCUUUUGUUAUUCCGUUAUUAGGCUUUGUUCCCCUUGAAUUUUAUAAGCACACACUUUUUUUUGGUACCGGGGAUCGAACUCGGGUCCUUCCGAUUACAAGGCAGUCGGUGGAACCACUGAGCUAAAUCCCUGGCCCUAUAAGCACACACUUUUAAAAACAAGUAAUAAUAAACACUAAGAUUUGAUAUAGAAUUGCAUAUUUGCAACUGCAAAGGCACUGGUGUUCAACUACUCUGUAACGAGAAAAGCAAACCCAACCAAGAAGGGAGACAGAUGUGUUUUUUCUGCAACAUCACAGACAUAUGAAAUUGUUCAGAUCUUAUGGAGAUACCAGGAAUAAUUCAACAUGGGAAUUUAACCAAAGUUAUUUUCCAUCCAUGAAUAAACUGCAUUUAAAAAUGCAUCAGUAUAUUUAGAUUUCUCUAUUUUUUCUAAAGUCACAUUGUAGUUUCUGGUAGGAGGUACACACUGGGAGAAGACUCCAUAUAUAAAAAAAGGAAAUUUAAGAUAGAGCAUUAUAAAAAUAUUAUUUCUAUGUGGGGGCAUAUUUAUACAUAAAUGUUAUUUUUGUUUAGAAAUGAGCUAGGAGUGAAAAUGACUUUGGCUUUUAUGAUUACCUAUUGAUAAAAAUGAUAGCCUUUAAUAUCUGGAUUCAGAUCUUUACUAAUCAUGAGUUUCCAUACAUUUCUAAGAAAGGAUUUGGAUUGAAUGAAAAUAGGAGGCUGGAACUUCCUAUGUGCUCCUGUGUCUGUGUUUGUUCUGAAUAUUUAUGCAAUAUUCUGACUUGGCUAUAAUCUAUAAUUCUUAGCUAUUAUUUCAGCUGCAACAAUAAUUUUUAGAUUAAUGGUUAUAAUUUUGUUAAGGCACACAUGAAAAGUUAUAUGUUCAUGCUUGAAAGGAGGAUCAUUAAAUAUUCAUUAUUACCACUCAAAUUAGUUGUCAUGCUCCAUGUAACAGUUACCCAUUAUCAUUUCACUAGUUUAGAUUCAGCAAUAAGUGAACAGCCAUAUAUAUGGCUCAUAGCAGUAGAGGAAUUUUGGGGUUGGGUAGGGAUGAGGAACAGGGAGGGAAAUGAUUUUUAAAUCCAUUUGACAUUUAUGUUGACCAGUUAUUUACAGGUGUUAGUGUUGUCAGUAAAUAUGUUUGUUGGAAUAGGAUUGUGGCUGGAUUGGCUUCUAGCUGUUUAAUUACUUUAUGAUUGUGAAAAAUGGUAUACCUUCAGUUAGUUUUGAGGGAAAAAUUACAAAGGUUGAGAUAUUUUAGUCUUUUGCACAUACCUAAUCUUGCAGUGAAAAAGUGCUUUUCAUUUUUAUAAGCAGGCAUUGAAAUCUUGCUUUUUCAGUGAAGCUACUUGUAUAAUUUGUUAGUUUUCCCCAUCUGGCAACAAAUCUAUCCUUAAAAAAGAAAAGCAAAAAGUAAAAUAAGAGAUAGAUUUUUAUGAAUAUUUUGGAUGAACAUAUAUAGAUGUCAUGUCAUCCAUUUCAGAAAGAUAGGGAGAGAAAAUAAAUAUAAAUAUAUUUUUAUUGUUAAAAUAUUUUGGUUUUUUUCCCACAUACCUUGGUAUUCCAGUUCAGUUAGAUGACGUUAGGGCAGCCACAUUCUUUUUUUAUCACAUACAUGAAUCAUUUCAUACUCCUCAAUAAUUCUAAAUUGGUUCUUUUCUCAUAGAAAAUAAUCAUAAAUUUGAUUCCCAUCUAACUUUAGAGCUUUUUGUCUUAAAGAGUCAAAUUAUAGCUGAUGAAAAACACCUUCUGCAUUUUUCCACAUUGCAUCUAGAUUCUUCAUAAUGAUGGUUUAUUUUUUCUGUACAGAUGAGAGAAAAAAUAUAUAGGUUCAUGAAUCAAUCUAGAUAAUGGGGAAGGCUGAAUGUAAUAAAUAAUACAGUAACAACCCUAAACUAAUGAGCUGUUGCUAAGGUACAUUUCAUAGGCUCAUCUUCUAUAUAAAAAGUCACUAAUAACCCCUUGGCGUAAUCAGAUGAUAAAGCUUUGCCAUAAGGCAACACCUGUGCAAUUAAAACUGCAGAUUCUUUUGCACGUUUCAUUAAUUUCAGGAUUUUGUAAAGGCACCAUGACUACACUAAUAAUCUGGUCUACUUGACUCCGUGGCUACUGGAAACAAAGUGUCUAAUUAGACAAAGGUAAUUAAUUAGAGAUAAAUGGAGCUAAUCAGACGCGGUUAACACUAAUUCUCUGAAUUAAGACAUUUUGGGACACCUACUAUCCUGCUGACUUUGACAUUUUAUAUUAAGAAUAGGUUCUAGAAGAGUCAGAAAAUACUGGCAUUUGAGAAUUGAGCAGUCUUUUGAUGGCAUAUUUAGGCAUCUGAAGCUAAAGUUUUCUUUCAUAUUGUGCUAUUUGACCAUCUUUCUAUUGGAGUUUAAAGAAUUCACUUUGUAGUUAUUCCAAUCUGUGCUCGUCUCCGUAUAAAUUUUAAUAAUCUUUGCUAUCAUUUUUAUUAUGUCUAGCCCACCAGUGGAAGAAAAUCACAAGUUGUUCUAUCUCUUAAAUAAAGACUUGUUACAUUAGGAAAUGUCAAGACCCAUCAGCCUAUAUCCUAAAAUUUUGAUCCUUUAAAGAGAACAAACACCUAAAAUUGUGAUCCUUUAAUUCUGAUUCUUAAAAGAGAACAAACCUCUACUUCACUGUGUUGGAUUGAAAAUUCAGUGAUGUAGGGGAAGGAGCAUGGGCUUUGAAGUCAGAAGACCUGAAAUCAAAUUCUGUUCCUUCUCUUGCUGAAUGAUCUUAAGGAGCUAGCUUAACCUCUCUGAAUUUGCUCAAUUGUAGAAUGGAAGUAGUACUGACACUACCUUUACAGGGUUAGUAGUGUGAAUACUGAGUAAGAUAACUAUAUUUAAAAGUUGAUCAUUAUUAGCUGUUGGCAUGGGAUAGAACAUAUAAUCUAGCGCUACAUCCUGACUGACAAUUGUCAAAAAUGUACCAUUUUCAACUCAACUACAUAAAAAUCUGUGAGCUAUAUGUAAGAAUGGACAGAAGGAGCUGGGGAUGCAUCUCUUGUAGAGCACUUGCCUAGCACAUGCAAGGUCCUGGGUUGGAUCCCCAGCACUGCAAAAAAUUAAAUAAAUAACUUAGAGAACUACACUGAAUAAUUAUUCCUUUUGGCAAGUUAUUCCUAGUUCGCCAGGAUGGACAAAUUGUCCCAGAAAUGAACUGUGGAUAUACCUUAAUAUGAAGUAGAUAUUUGACUCUUCUAUCUCUGGGAUAUGCCCCUUCCUCUUUCUGGUCCCUGUUGCAUUUUAUCCAGACCACUCCUGAAUUGCUCUAGCAGUAUCCUAAAUAGGACCCUUGCCUUUAUUUCUUUCUCCUAUAACUAUCAUCAAAUUAAUGUUCUUUAUAGAAAAAUUUCCUCAUUCUUUAAGAUUAUAAGUAGAUUUCUUGUUAAACUACAACCCAUCACACAUGGAGUCAAAACAGUCAUACCUGGAGCCAUGAUAUUUAUUCAGCCUUGUCACCUACUGCCUUCCCUUUUAUUUCAUGCUUGCUAGCCUUGCUAUGCUUCACCACACUUGAUUCUCCUUUUAUGUUCUUCUCCAAGCCUAGUAACCUUUCCCCCUUUUUCUGAUGCCUCUCUUGAUGACCCAGGCCUACUAAGAGCAUUCUCAUCUUCAAAGGUCCACAGCAGAUUUCAGUGGCAUCACAUUUUUAGCCUUGGCUCCAACUGUUUGGGUUGGUGAUCCAAUUCCCUUUGUCUUUCCAACACAGAUGAGACCUCUGAGCCCAGGAGCUAUAUCUUAUUUUCUGAGUGGUUUACCCUGCUCACCAUCCUCUUUCCCCAAACCUCAACCUUCACAGAAUAUGGCCUUCUAGGAGACACACAAAACUGCAUGUUGUAACCAACCUAGCCUUGUCCUUGUGACUUUUGUAGUAACACUAGGGCUUUUUGCUGACGUUGGGCUGGAUUGAGCCUUGGGGUAAACCUUCAUGUUCGGAGAUAACAGCAGAUGUAUAUAUGUUUAUCUUUUUCCUGUUGGUUCUAUUUUCUGGAGAAUGCUGGCUAAUACAGAAACUUUUGAUGGAGCUUUUUGGUAAAUGUUUAGUACAGGAAAGCUUCUUGGUGAAUGUUCAGAACAGGAAGUUUUCCAUGGAGAGUCUAUGCCAGAUAAAUUGAAACUCAUAUGGAUUAGAUAUCCAGGUUGGCUAAUUGUGGUCAUUACAAUGUCCACAAUUUCAUUCCUUCUUUGCAUCUCUGCCCUUUGGUGGUACUCUCCCAACACUUGAGUUUGAACUUGGUGAAGUGCUUUGCUUUAGCCAAUGGCACAGAAACAGACAUGUCUUGGGCACAACCCUGAAAAAUGGUUGGGUAUUUGAGCUUUUCCUCUGGCUGUUUUUGUCACCUUUAGUCUGUGAAUGAACCCAAGCUAGCUUGCUAUAUUAUGACAGUCACUUAGUCCAGUAUUUCCCUUUCCCCAGCCAGUGGUUAGCCAACCCUAGAAGUAGAGCCACUUAGUUGACCAGAACUCAAAGAAGCACCAGUGAGUCCAGUCUUGGUCUGGGUUGAGGCCUGAGCUGAGCCUCAGCAUUUGGAGACAACAUUAGUUCGAUGAGAGGCCUGCUGUAUGUCCCUGAGACAUGCAGGGAAAAACUUGAACUACAUAUAGAAUCAAUAGAUAACUGAUACACUGGAGUAGACUAUUUCGUUGUUAAACUAGAAGAAACCCAGAGAACAUAAAAUAUUUGGUCUCUGAUCUUCUACACUAAGUAAGCAGGAGAAUAAUGAUACUUUCAAGAGAAAUGGAAAACAAGCCCCCAUUAUGUGAAAUAGGAAAGUGGACUCAGUUUUCAUCUCUUUGGGGUGGCAUAGAUCAAAAUUUGAGUCAGAAAUUCUAAGGGAUGUUAGGCUAGAGUUCAAGAUUUGCAUGUAAGAGACGGGUAAAAUUGUGGGGUAGGGUAAGAAUGCAGGGGAAGGAAGACAAUUGUAGUGUGGGAGCAAGAACUGUAGGAAAGAUAUGGUCAGCAGAGAGGAUUGCUAGAAAGGGUAAGCAUGCCAAUAAUUACUCAUAAUUCAAGGAUAAUUUAUAGCUUAUAAAGCCC
ensembl:lncRNA